rnacentral:rRNA from 1 species
AAUCGAAGAGCUCCAAGUGGGCCAUUUUUGGUAAAGCAGAACUGGCGAUGCGGAUAAACCGAAGCCGGGUUACGGCGCCGACUGCGCGCUACCUAGAUUCCCAAAAGGGUGUUGGUCGAUUAGACAGCAGGACGGUGGUCAUGGAAGUCGAAAAUCCGCUAAGGAGUGUGUAACAACAUCACCUCCGAUCACUAGCCCGAAAAUGAUGGAGCUUAAGCCGCGACUACACCGGCCGAUCGGGGCAAGUGCCAGGCCCCGAUGAGUAGGAGGGCGCGGCGGCGCCGCAAAGCCUGUGGCGCGAGCCAGGGCGGAGCGGCCGUCGGUGCAAUCUUUUGGGGUAAGUAGCAAAUAUUCAAGUGAGAACUUGAAGGCCGAAGAGGGGGAAAGGUCCAUGUGAACGGCACUAUGCACAUGGUUAGUUCGAUCCUAGAGGGGGGAGCCGUCCGACUAAGCGCGCCAAUCGCGAAGCUUGAAAGGUGAAAUCGGUAAUACAUUCCUGAAUCCGGGACGUGGCGGCUGACGGCAACGUUAGGGAGUCCGGAGACCGACUUGUCGGGCGGGGGCUCGGAAGAGUUAUCUUUUCUGUUUAAGACAGCUGCCCUACCCUGAAACCGCUCAGGCUCUGGAGGUAAAGGGUCCAGCGGACCGGAAGAGCACGCACGUCGCGUGUGUGGGUGCGCCCCCGCGGCCCCUUGAAAAUCGGAGGUACCGAGUGCCAGACCCACAGCCCGGUCGUACUCGAUAACGCAUCAGGAUCUCCAGGUACAGCCUCUGUCGAUGGAACAAUGUAGGCAAAGGAAGUCGCAAAGGAUCCGUAACAUCGGGAAAAGGAUUGCUCUGAGGGCUUGGGCACGGGGUCCCAGUCCCGAACCCGUCGGCUGUCGGUGGACUGCUCGAGCUGCCUCCGGGCGAGAGCGGGUCGCCGCGUGCCGGCCGUGGGACGGACUGGGACGGCUCCCUCGGGGUUCGGGCGUCGAACAGCCGACUUCAGAACUUUGGUACGGACAAGGGGAAUCCGGACUGUUUAAUUAAAACAAAGCAUUGCGAUGUCCCUGGGAUGCUUCUGCAUUUCUGCCCUGUGUCAAAGUGAAGAAAUUCAACCAAGCGCGGGUAAACGGCGGAAGUAAGACUAUGACUCUCUUAAGUAGCCAAAUGCCUCGUCAUCUAAUUAGUGACGCGCAUGAAUGGAUUAACGAGAUUCCCACUGUCCCUGUCUACUAUCCAGCCGAAACACACAGACAAGGAACGGCUUGGCAGAAUCAGCGGGGAAAACUAACUCUAGUCCGACUUUGUGAAUGACUUGAGAGGCGAGGAUAAGUGGGAGCCCUCGGGCAUAAAGUGAAAUAUCCACUACUUUAACGUUAUUUUUACUUACUCCGUGGAGUCGGAGGCGGGCAUGGCCCCUCUUUUGGACCCCAAGGCCCGCCCAGCGGGCCGAUCCGAGCGGAGGACAUUGUCAAAGGGGGAGUUUGGCUGGGCGGCACAUCUGUUAAAGAUAACGCAGGUAUCUGAAACUGUGGGAAUUGGAAAUGGAGGAGAGAAUUGGCUGGAGAGAAACAAUGCCUGAUAUGAUGUAUAGGAAAUUGUAUCUGUUUGUUAUCACAAUUCAUGAGCAGUUUAUUGUUUCUGGCAUCCAAGGAUUGUUAUGCAUCGGUUGCUAUACAUGGCUGAGAUAUGUUAUUACAGGUUGCGAAGAGGACAUGGCAUGGCUGCCGAAUGUCCUCUUUGCCGUGAGAAAUGGAGGUUGGUGGUAUAUUAUUUGUUCCGGAGCUGUGUGCUUCUGUGUAGGUGAUUCAGCUUGUCCUUUCUUCCUUCUUCUGAUCAGUAGUUACUUACUCCUCUGAUCUCUGUAAGUUCUUAUGUUAGUGGACUUGGAUUCUGUUGU